AAGGAGUUGGAGACCUUGUGCAAUCCAAUAAUCUCAAAGAUGUACCAAGGUGGAGCUGGUGGAGAUAUGCCCAUGGGAGGCAAUGCUGACACUGGGACUGGUUAUGGCCAAGGAGGAUCUGCAGCUAAUGGUCCAGGGCCAAAGAUUGAGGAAGUUGAUUAAAGAUGAUAUGUUAAUACUUCUAUAAACUCUGUACUAUUUUAGUGACUGCUUUGAG
rnacentral:misc_RNA from 1 species